rnacentral:rRNA from 1 species
AUUGAACGCUGGCGGCAGGCCUAACACAUGCAAGUCGAAGGGAGUGGCAGACGGGUGAGUAACACGUGGGAACGUGCCCUUCGGUUCGGAAUAACUCAGGGAAACUUGAGCUAAUACCGGAUACCGAAGGAUCGGCGCGCGUCUGAUUAGCUUGUUGGUGGGGUACCGGCCUACCAAGGCGUGGAUCAGUAGCUGGUCUGAGAGGAUGAUCAGCCACACUGGGACUAAGACACGGCCCAGAAUCCUACGGGAUGGAGCAGUGGGGAAUAUUGCACAGUGGGGGCAAGCCAGAUCCAGCCAUGCCGGGUGAGUGAUGAAGGCCUUAGGGUUGUAAAGCUCUUUUGUCCGGAACUCGGUACCGGAAGAAUAAGCCCCGGCUAACUUCGUGCCAGCAGCCGCGGUAAUAC